GCAGCGUUAGUAUAAAGGUUAUUAUGUCUGCCUUCCAAGCAGAAUAUGCCAGUUCGAUUCUGGUACGCUGCUCA
rnacentral:tRNA from 1 species